GACUCUUUUACGCUUUUUGCUCCUUUUCGUAGAGAGCAAUUACUACUACCGUUGCCUCACCUCAGGUUCUUGCUGUUCUGUGCGCUGCGCUCUCGCUCUCCGUCGAGCAAGUCGAUGGAUCGAUGGAUCGUUCCUCGAGGGAAGACUAUGAGCAAGUUCUUCUUGGGGAUCGCGAAUACGGAGGUGCCGUGAGGAAUGCUUCAACAGCUUCGAUCCAUCAAGUAAGCUUCCACCACCUCAAAUCCUGCGUCCUGCAAAUGUAGAGUUCGUACCAUCGCCUCUCUCUAGCGACUCACUAUGAAAGUGGAAAAGGAAUUUGAUAUUUCCACAAGAUUACAAUGGUAAAAUCUCCUUGAAAUUGGAUCUAA